GACGAACGCUGGCGGCGUGCCUAAUACAUGCAAGUCGAACGCAGUGGGGACGGGUGAGUAACACGUGGGUAACCUCCCAUCAGAGCGGAUAACACUUGGAAACAGGUGCUAAACCGAUACUGAUGGAUGGAACCGCGGUGCAUUAGCUAGUUGGUGAGGUAACGGCUCACCAAGGCCACGAUGCAUAGACGACCUGUGAGGGUGAUCGGCCACACUGGAACUGAGACACGGCCGAGCUUCCUACGGGAGGCAGCAGUAGGGAAUAUACAGAAAUGGACGAAAGUCUGACCGAGCAACGGCGCGUGAGUGAAGAAGGUUUUCGGAUCGUAAAACUCUGUUAUUAGAGAAGCGGUAUCUAACCAGAAAGCAACGGCUAACUACGUGACAGCAGCCGCGGUAAUAC
rnacentral:rRNA from 1 species